rnacentral:rRNA from 1 species
GUCGACGAUGAACCAGCUUGCUGGUGGAUUAGUGGCGAACGGGUGAGUAACACGUGAGUAACCUGCCCUUGACUCUGGGAUAAGCCUGGGAAACUGGGUCUAAUACCGGAUAUGACCUUCUAUCGCAUGGUGGUUGGUGGAAAGCUUUUGUGGUUUUGGAUGGACUCGCGGCCUAUCAGCUUGUUGGUGGGGUAAUGGCCUACCAAGGCGACGACGGGUAGCCGGCCUGAGAGGGUGACCGGCCACACUGGGACUGAGACACGGCCCAGACUCCUACGGGAGGCAGCAGUGGGGAAUAUUGCACAAUGGGCGCAAGCCUGAUGCAGCGACGCCGCGUGAGGGAUGACGGCCUUCGGGUUGUAAACCUCUUUCAGUAGGGAAGAAGCCGUAAGGUGACGGUACCUGCAGAAGAAGCGCCGGCUAACUACGUGCCAGCAGCCGCGGUAAUACGUAGGGCGCAAGCGUUAUCCGGAAUUAUUGGGCGUAAAGAGCUCGUAGGCGGUUUGUCGCGUCUGCCGUGAAAGUCCGGGGCUCAACUCCGGAUCUGCGGUGGGUACGGGCAGACUAGAGUGAUGUAGGGGAGACUGGAAUUCCUGGUGUAGCGGUGAAAUGCGCAGAUAUCAGGAGGAACACCGAUGGCGAAGGCAGGUCUCUGGGCAUUAACUGACGCUGAGGAGCGAAAGCAUGGGGAGCGAACAGGAUUAGAUACCCUGGUAGUCCAUGCCGUAAACGUUGGGCACUAGGUGUGGGGGACAUUCCACGUUUUCCGCGCCGUAGCUAACGCAUUAAGUGCCCCGCCUGGGGAGUACGGCCGCAAGGCUAAAACUCAAAGGAAUUGACGGGGGCCCGCACAAGCGGCGGAGCAUGCGGAUUAAUUCGAUGCAACGCGAAGAACCUUACCAAGGCUUGACAUGAACCGGUAACGCCUGGAAACAGGUGCCCCACUUUGUGGUCGGUUUACAGGUGGUGCAUGGUUGUCGUCAGCUCGUGUCGUGAGAUGUUGGGUUAAGUCCCGCAACGAGCGCAACCCUCGUUCUAUGUUGCCAGCACNUGAUGGU